AGAGGGAAGUCCCGCCCUCCCACUCGGGCCCCCAUCGAGCCCUUUUCCACUUCAAUUCCAUCUGUGCUUCAGGGUAACCGUCAGGAAGGACUUCCUACCCUGCCAGCUGGCCUGAAAGCCAGAGCAUCUUCCACCGCCACUGCCCUGAGCAUCACCCUUCCUUCCUCUCAGGCUCCGCCCUGCCAGGGGCACAAAGAGUGUGCAGGGGAAGCUUAGCUCCAGCUCAGCUCCUUGCGCCACAGGACAAGGGGCCUCUUUCUUCAGUGCAGGGCUUUGCUCCAUGACACACCGUGUCGGCGGGACCCCGGGAACCAAGCCUGGUUCUGGAGCCAAUGCUGGCACAGGUUGGCUAAUGCUUCCAGGAUGGGAUCAAGGUGAAGAGGUAAUAACAUCACAGACAUGCUCCUGCCCCGCCCCCUUCAUUAAGAAAACAUUUUGUGUAUGCACACAUACGUGAGGAAGUCAGAGGGCAGCUGAUGAAGCCAGUCUGAUCCGUCCAUCACAGGGGUUGCCAGGCCUCAGUCCCAGGUUGUCAAGCUUGGUGGCAAGUACCUUUUCCGGCUAAGUGGUUUUGCCAGCCCUUGCCUGGCUGCUUUCUCCUGGGAUGUUAGCUUUAGGCCUCAGCUCCUAUCAACUGGGAAAUACGGGCAAACUCUCCUUUGUCCCUCCUGACUCAGGGGUCAGAGCAUCCUUCUGGGGCCAUCUUUAGAGUCUCCACCCCGUGCCAUUCCCAUCACCCUGGCAACAAGGUCUACAAGGUUUCCCUUCAGGUGAGCGAGACCCUGAGUUCACCUGUGACCUUGCCUGCUGAAGUUUCUGACACAGCCCUGGGUAUCGAGACAAGCUGCCUUCCUGCUGUGACUUCAACAGGGAGAGGAGAGUCCACACAGCUGGGGUUUCUGGAAACAGUCUUCUCGCUGGUCCUUUCCCUGACCUUUAAAAAUAAAGUCUGUGUGUCCAUUUCUGAGGCUUAACUGCCUUUUUUCUUCUGCUUGACAUCUUAGAAUCAACCUUCCAUCUGUGUUUGUAAAUGCUUUUCUAUUUAAAAAUCCACCUCCUCCCCGGUCUCUUUUUAAAUUUAAGAAACACAGGACCAUACUGCUAAAGGUGUCAGGAAACAUGCUCAAAUAAGGAAGGGCUCCAAAGACGGCCCUGCCAACAAAAUGCCAGUAAAAUCUGAAACCUGGGUUCAGACACACUGGGAGUGUUCCAAAACUUAAGACCUAAAGAGCGUCUCUAUUCCAGUAAAUCAGCCUCCCUGUGAAUGCCAUCAAAACCUGAGCUUUAAUGAGAGAGGGGAUAUCAGAGGAAGGGGUGGAGAGGAAAGGGCUUGGACCGGCCUGAAACUUAAUUUAAAAACUAUUAUGAGAAGAUUAAUUUCCCCUCCCCCAACCAAAUAUACAAAUCCUUCCUGCACAUUUAGCUUCAUUUUCUCUUCCCCCAAAAAUAAGAAAAAGGAAGGAAGAAGGGAGUCUCCAGCUCAUGAGACAAUGAUUCUGCAUGUAUGAGUGAGUGCAUGUGGACACAUGUGUGCGCCCCUGCGUGUGCAUGUGUGUGCAUAUGCGUGUAUGCCUGUGUGCGAGUGCAUGUGUGUGUUCAUGCACGAGUAUGUGUACAUGUGUGUGAGUAUAUGUGCACAUGUGUGUGAGCCUGUGUGUGUGUAUGGGCAAGUGUGUAUAUUUGUGUGCAUGUGUGUGAGUGUAUGUGCACAUGUGCAAGUGAGUGUGUAUGUGUGUGUGUGUGUGUGUGUGUGUGUGUGCAUAUGUGCCUGGCUGUGUACAAGCUAAAGGUUGCUUCCAAUCCCUUCCCCUCAGCGAGGCUGGCCUGCCUGGCCCCUCCUGUUGAGUGCUAGGGCUAUAGGCAUGUGUGGCGUGGCCGUAUCUGACUUUUGUUACCUAAGUGCUGGAGAUAUGAACUCAGGUUCCCCAUGAUUACAUAGCAAACACUUCACCCACUGAGUCAUCUCCCAGCCCCAAGGUGCACUUUUCAAAGUGACAAAUAUUACCUGCAGGACUUCAAUGGAUUGAAGCGUCAUGCUAGCUGUGUGAAAUAAUUCGAUGAAACCAGAAACAAAGUGGGUUUUCACUGAAUAAGGAGGAGGAUGGAUAAUAAAAAGCCACAGAGGUUGUUUGAAGAGGGACAGUCACGUGUCAGGCAAGUGGGCGUGGUCACAUGCCAGCCUAGUGGGCGUGGCCACAGAUUAUGCCUAGACAUUAAGCAGCUGCAGUUAAUGACGUGUGCGCACACAAUGCUGUAUCAGCCCUUUGCAGAGGUGCAGCUUAUCAGAGCCAGGCAGUACAGGAGAAAUUGACAGUGUGGCCUUGGGCUUUGUAAUAGGUACACACCAUGUUGUCGUGCCUGCCACCUCUACUUCAGGAAUGGGGAAAGGUUGGUUCUGGAAGCUUCCCUAGAGCACCCAGGGCCACGGCUGAGGCGUUUCUUUAAUCUCACCAGGAACCUGCAGAGACGGACCAUGAGACAGGCCCUUACCCCCACUGACAGUGAUGGACUGCUGGCUUAUGAAUCCUAGGGUACACUUUAGUGAGGGCACCUGCGGGGUUUGCUCCUCUGUUGAAUUUGGUCUCCUUGUUGAUAAAAGCCCUGAGCAGGGCAUAUGAAACACUUAGGUCACAGCUGUUCUUGCUCUGGCUUUCCUCUUAUUGAUGUGCCAGAGCCUCCUUGGUGGUACCUCCUGGAUAAGGAGACACACACACACACACACACACACACACACAUACAUACAUAUACACACACAUACACACACCUGCACACAGGCCACUCUACUCAAGCCGUCUUCUGGCUCAUCUGAGGUGCUUCCGAAGAGGCCCUGUGCACCCCCCUACCUAAAAUGUCUCAGAACAGAUGAAACUCCCACGCAGAUACCCAACAAGACCAUCAAUGCACCAACAUCACGGGUCUGUGUCCAGGUGACAAGGUGCCAGAUUACCUGUGUUGCUAGCCGGGUUGAAGCAGCCCCAAAACGUUGAGAGUUCCUGAGGGAACACUCCCUGGGACACAUUUUCUAGCAACACUCUUCCCUGGACAUACUUUGCUGGGGACAAACUCUCUCAGGGAAACCCUAGACAUAAGCUCUUUCAUGUGAGCACUCUCCUUGGAGUAUGCUGUCCCAUGGGGCACACUGUCCCGUGGGGCACAUUUUCCCAUGGGGCACGCUCUCCCAUGGGGCACACUCUCCUGAACAUGUUGCAGCCAGGAGUUUAGUUCCUCUGCUUUUCUUCCCUAGUUUGGCUCAAGUUUGAAUGUGGAUUUAUUCCAUUCCAAAGCAGCUCCGCUCAUUCAUCAUCUCUCCCAAGCUUCUAGAAAACUCUGUGUCACCAUGACUCCUAGAGAUGACGCUUCUGCCUCCCUGACACCAUACAAUGCGGGAUCCUCUCCGUUCCUGUGAUGGAUGCUUGGUGAGGCACCCUUGAGGAAGAGCCUCCCCGAGGAAGUCACUCAUCUGGCAGAGAGGAGGGGCUGUGCCCACCUUCCACACGUGACGGACUUUCUGGGCACAUGUGCAAGCAUGCCAAACACUAGUGUGGGACAGAGAACUUUUGUCAAGGGAGAGAGCCUUAGUUGACUCCCUGGUGGGACUUGGGUGCUGGCAUACCUAGGGACCUACCGUUCCACACUGGCCCACCAAAUGACCCUCAUAAAGCUGGAAACCAUAAACGGAGCUUAGCGUUUAAGGAAACAAAGACUGCCCGGGUGCGCUUUUCUCGAAAUGAAACUGCCCGGAGCUUCUCAUAAGGCUUUUUACGAUAAGCAUUAAAAUGCAAAGAGGAAGAUUAAAGUUCCUGCCACAGAUGAGGCCUGAGGGGAAAGCGAGGAGGGCUGGCGGGCAGGGGCUGGUGGAGGCCGUGCACAGCAUUACAGUUGGAUAGUAUUAUAUAAAACGAGUGUGUUAUUAAAAGGAUCCUAAAGUUAUAAAAACUCAAAGGAACCUUUAGUGACGAUGAAUAACUUCUUUGGUAAGGAUGAAUAACUCACAUUUCCUACAGGCUUUUUUGGUGGUGGGGUGGGGUUGGCUACCUGGCUGGGCUCUUUAAUUGCUAAUACUUGGAUCUGGUUGUUCUUGUAGGACACCCUGCCUAGGGGCGGGGAAUCAGAAUGCAGUGUUGGACUAGGAACAUGCUAGGGGCCUGAGAGAAGUACUCCCCUAGCAACUGAAGUCCUUGAUUAUCCUAAUUUUAAAAAGGUUGCAGAAGACAGCAAACAGGCUCCAUUCUGCUCUGCUGAGACCCUGGCAGUGAACCCCCACUCCAGCAGGGAAGCAUUUUGGUCAGCCCACCAAGACCCUGUGCUCCAGAUAACAGAAGGAAGAAUUUUUGAAUACUCCCCAUUGCAGAACAUCAGGAUGUCAGCAGAAUCAGUAGCAGGUAUGCAGGUCUGUCCGUUUACCACCACUGUCUAUCCAUGCUGAACCAGUACUGACUCUCGAUUCUUUUCAAAGUUGGG